GUCCAAGGGCAGGAGAUGGGUGUCUCCCUCCAGAAAAGAGAAUUUGCUUGUCUUCUCCCUUUGUGUUCCAUCUGGGUCCCCAACCAAGUGGAUGUGCCUGCCCACGCUGAGGGCAGAUCUUCACUGAGUCCACUGAAAACAUCCUCACACACUCAGAAACAAUGCUUCGCCAGCUGCCAAGUACAGUGUGUGUGCCUUAGUCCCAGCUACUCAGGAGGCUAAGGUGGGAGAAACGCUUGAGCCUGGGAGCUGGAGGCUGCAGUAAGCCAUGAUUGUGCCAUUGCACUCCAGGCUGGCUGACAGAGAGAUCCUGCCUCAAAAAAAGAGAUAGAUAGAUAGAUAGAUAGAUAGAGCUCCACCAGCCAUCUAGGCUUUUUUUUUUUAAACAGGGUGUCACUCUGUCAACCAGGUUGGAGUGCCGUGGUGCUAUCAUAGCUCACUGCAGCCUUGACUUCCCAGGCUCAACCCAUCCUCCCACCUCAGCCUCCUGAGUAGCUGGGACUACAGCGUACAGGCACAGACCACGAUACCUGACUUAUUUUUAAAUUUUUUGUAGAGAAGUUUCACCAUGUUGCCCAAGCUGGUCUCAAACUCCUGGGCUUAAGCAAACCUCCCACCUCAGCCUCCCAAAGUGAUGGGAUUACAGGCAGGAGACAUGGCAGCCAGCUAAGGCUCCCUGUACCCUGUUAGUCGGCUUUACAGCACCUGGAAUUGACCGCCACACGGAGCCUGGCGCUAAGGCCUGGCUGUGCCCAAUGGUUCUGCACGAAGACCCGGGCCGGCCUGUGGGGAGCUCAGCUGCAUAUGCGUCUGUGGCGCCCCCUGUGCCCUGCUCUUUGGGGACUGAGCAUAGCUGCCCCUCCCUCUCUCCCUUCUGCCCGCUCCUGGACAUUUCCGGAAGGCCCCAGGAAAUGGUGGCUGAUAGUGGUUCCUGAGGCCACACCACGGGCUGCCUGGUGCCCUUUCCCUCCCCAGUGCCCGGCUGGAGCAAGAAGCCGAGCUCCUGAUGGGAGCUGGCCCUUUCUUUAGACUUUGCUUCACCUUCAGGACAGGGGGUUCUGAAUUUCUGCGCUAGGGCCCCGCCGGCUUGGGUGGGCUUCCAGCGUGAAUCCUCGGCCUGUCGUCCCCGUCAUCAGGAAGCCCAACAGGGCGCCCGCCUGCCCUCUGUGUCCUCCCCGGGCUCGCGGCCGUGCACCUUCUGGUGCUGGAUGAGGGUGGACAGCCGGCUGCAGGCCCUCCCGCAGGCGCGGCACCGGUAUGGCCUCUCGCCGCUGUGGAGCCGGUAGUGCUCGUUCAGCGUGUAGCUCCUGCGGAACGCCUUGCCGCACUCGGUGCACGCGAAGGGCUUCUCCUUGGUGUGGAUCUUCUGGUGCAGAGUGAGGUUGGACUUGCGACCGAAGGCCUUGCCGCACUCCGCGCACUCGAACGGCUUCUCGCCCGUGUGUAGGCGCAGGUGCAGCAGCAGCAGGGAGUUGUGUCGGAACGGCCUCCCGCACACCGGGCACUCGUGGGGCGGGUCCCCCGCCUGGGGCCUCUGCGCAGCUCCGAGCAGGGCGCCCUGCCCCACGCCGCCGUCCUGGGCACCCUCCUGCGCGUGCAGCCGGUGGUGCUUCAGGAGCGAGGACCCUCGGAUGAAGCGCUGCCCACACCGCAGGCACCGGUAGGGCCGCUCCCCGCUGUGGAUGCGGCCGUGCUCGUUGAGGGUGAACCUGCGGCAGAACGCCUUGCCGCACUCUGUGCACGCGAAGGGCUUCUCCCCGGUGUGGAACUUCUGGUGCUGCAGCAGCCGGGAGCUGCGGCUGAAGGCCUUGCCGCACUCGCCGCAUGCGUAGGGCCGCUCGCGGGUGUGGACGCGGUGGUGGGCAGCCAGCUGCGUGCUCUGCCGGAAGGCCUUCCCGCACUCGCCGCUGGGAGGCCGAGGCGGCGGAUCACAAGGUCAGGAGAUCGAGACCAUCCUCGCUAACAUGGUGAAACCUCGUCUCUAUUAAAAAUACAAAAAAAAAAAUUGGCUGGGCGUGGUGGUGGGCGUCUGUAGUCCCAGCUACUCGGGAGGCUGAGGCAGAAGAAUGGCGUGAACCCGGGAGGUGGAGCUUGCAGUGAGCCGAGAACGCGCCAGCCUGGGCCAAAGUGCGAGACUCCGUCUCAAAAAAAAAAAUAAUGGCCAGGCGCGGUGGCUCACGCCUGUAAUCCCAGCACUCUGGGAGGCCGAGGCGGUGGAUCACAAGGUCAGGAGAUCGAGACCAUCCUGGCUCACACGGUGAAACCUCGUCUCUACUAAAAAUACAAAAAAUUAGCCGGGCAUGGUGGCGGGCGCCUGUAGUCCCAGCUACUUGGGAGGCUGAGGCAGGAGAAUGGCGUGAACCCGGGAGGCGGAGCUUGCAGUGAGCUGAGAUCGCGCCACUGCUCUCCAGCCUGGGCGACAGAGCGAGACUCCAUCUCAAAAAUAAUAAUAAUAAUAAUCUCUGUUCUACAAUUAUAACCUAGGAAAAACCAGGCCAUACAGAGAUAGGAGCUGAAGGGACACAGUGAGAAGUGACCAGAAGACAAGAGUGUGAGCCUCUGUCACGCCCGGACAGGGCCACUAGAGGGCUCCUUGGUCUAGCGGUAACGCCAGUGCCUGGGAAGACGCCCGUUACUUAGUUGACCUUGGUCUAGCAGUAACCCCAGUGCCUGGGAAGGCACUAGUUACAUAGCAGACCUGGAAAGGGAGUCUUCCUUUCCCCAGGGUAGUUAGAGAAGACUCUGCUCCACCACCUCUUGUGGAAGGCCUGACAUCAGUCAAACUCGCCCACAGCCAUGCUGAGGCCUGACCGUCUCCCUGUGAUGCUGUGUUUCAGUGGUCAUGCUCCUGUUUCACUUUCAUGUUCCACCCUGUACACCUGGCUCUGCCUUCUAGACAGCAGUAACAGAAUUAGUGAAAGUACUAAAAGUCAUUAAAAUGCAUAGAAGAAAUAAUGGCGUAAGCUGUCCUGUCUCUCUCUCCGCCUCGGCUGUCAAACAGGGAAGGACCCCCUGUCCGGUGAACAUGUGACUCACAUGACCUUAUCAAUCAUUGGAAAUGACUCACACUCUUUACCCUGCCCCUUUCGCCUUGUAUCCAAUAAAUAACAGCGCAGCCAGGCAUUCAGGACCA
rnacentral:lncRNA from 1 species